AGAAUUCGGGGAAGAUUAAUGAGUGUGCUGAAUUCUUAAUUAUGCGGAAGUGAAUUCCACAAGUUGCUCGAGGUUCUAGUUGUGGACAAACGAUUAAGGCGGUAGUACGCAUACGAGAUUGUCUUCACUUGUGAUACCCGUUCAGGGCUUACUCAUUAGGAGUAAGUCUUGAAUAGUCCC